CUCCAGGAUCCUUGUUCUUAACCGCUGUGCCACAUUCCCUGCCUAGAUAAACAGACCCAGUUUGGGCCCUCGUGUCAUGUUUGAGCAUUUGCCCCUUCUUUGGAUAUUUCUAUUUCUAUGUAUGAAAAAGAAAUCGCUCUUUACUUGUGUUUCUUAUCAUGUGUGAAAAAUCAAUCUUGAUUAGUUUAAGCCACUAUUACUUAGGGUUUCUGUUGUAUGUAGCAGAAUACAGUCCUGCUAUCCCAGCCAUCAGUAGCUAAUAACCUAUGUGACUUGAUAGUACAUCAUCAUCCCCCCCCCCACAGCCCAAUCCCUAGUUAGAAUGUUAGCACAAUGAGAGCAGGUACCACAGCAAUUGUGUGUAUGAUUGUGCUUUAGUACGGUGCCUGGUACAUGUUAGAUGCUCAACAAAUAUGUCUGAAUAAUAAAAUAAGUCAAUAAAUGAUUGAGGGCUAAAACUGCAGUAAAUCAAAUCUUCUGUGCUUGCUUUACUUAGCAUCAUGCUAAUUUGCAUUCAUUGUGUAUAGGCUAGCCAAGAGAGAAGGUGAUACUUCUAUACCUCAUGGUUAUGUCAGUCUAAAGUGGCAUUAAAAAAUACUAUGAAUAAAUCAUCAAGUCCGUGACCUAUUGAGAGUUUAACAGGAGCCAAGUUCAAGAGGACAUAAGAACAACAAAGUCAGUGAAGGAACCCAUUGGAAGUCAGUUAUUUAAUGCCCUUUCUGCUUCCUCGACUUAAUGAAAGGCAACUCGUUUUUCAAUUUGGGUCACCAAAUACCACCUUGCUUCGAAAUCUUCCCUCUCUCCCCUUCAGUUGAGAAAGGAGGCUGCCAAGAAGUCAGAACAAUGGAAGCUAAGCAAAGAUACAGAAUCAAUUUCUGAAGACCACGAGGGAAGAAGCUGAUGAAGACUCUAUGUAUAGUUAGAUAAUGGGACGUUUCAUCCCUGGAAAGAUAAUAUUAAUAACUGCUGGAGGAGGGGAGAACUGUGGAGCAAAGAAUCUUGAGGGUGAGCAGUGCUGCUCAAACCACCUGUGGCAAUAGAUCAGUUUUAAAUUUCCAAUCCAGGAGUUCCCGUCGUGGCGCAGUGGUUAACGAAUCCGACUAGGAACCAUGAGGUUGCGGGUUCGGUCCCUGCCCCUGCUCAGUGGGUUAACGAUCUGGCGUUGCCGUGAGCUGUGGUGUAGGUUGCAGACGCGGCUCAGAUCCCGCGUUGCUGUGGCUCUGGCGUAGGCCAGUGGCUACAGCUCCGAUUCGACCCCUAGCCUGGGAACCUCCAUAUGCCACGGGAACGGCCCCCCAAAAUAGCAAAAAGACAAAAAAUAAAAAAUAAAAAUAAAUAAAUAAAUUUCCA
rnacentral:lncRNA from 1 species